rnacentral:rRNA from 1 species
AUGAACGCUGGCGGCGUGCCUAAUACAUGCAAGUCGAGCGAACAGACGAGGAGCUUGCUCCUCUGACGUUAGCGGCGGACGGGUGAGUAACACGUGGAUAACCUACCUAUAAGACUGGGAUAACUUCGGGAAACCGGAGCUAAUACCGGAUAAUAUAUUGAACCGCGUGGUUCAAUAGUGAAAGACGGUUUUGCUGUCACUUAUAGAUGGAUCCGCGCCGCAUUAGCUAGUUGGUAAGGUAACGGCUUACCAAGGCAACGAUGCGUAGCCGACCUGAGAGGGUGAUCGGCCACACUGGAACUGAGACACGGUCCAGACUCCUACGGGAGGCAGCAGUAGGGAAUCUUCCGCAAUGGGCGAAAGCCUGACGGAGCAACGCCGCGUGAGUGAUGAAGGUCUUCGGAUCGUAAAACUCUGUUAUUAGGGAAGAACAAAUGUGUAAGUAACUAUGCACGUCUUGACGGUACCUAAUCAGAAAGCCACGGCUAACUACGUG